rnacentral:rRNA from 1 species
AUUGAACGCUGGCGGCAUGCCUUACACAUGCAAGUCGAACGGCAGCACGGGUGCUUGCACCUGGUGGCGAGUGGCGAACGGGUGAGUAAUACAUCGGAACGUACCUUAUCGUGGGGGAUAACGCAGCGAAAGUUGCGCUAAUACCGCAUACGCCCUGAGGGGGAAAGCGGGGGACCGUAAGGCCUCGCGCGAUUAGAGCGGCCGAUGUCUGAUUAGCUUGUUGGUGAGGUAAAAGCUCACCAAGGCGAUGAUCAGUAGCUGGUCUGAGAGGACGAGCAGCCACACUGGGACUGAGGAACGGCCCAGACGCCUACGGGAGGCAGCAGUGGGGAAUUUUGGACAAUGGGGGCAACCCUGAUCCAGCAAUGCCGCGUGAGUGAAGAAGGCCUUCGGGUUGUAAAGCUCUUUUGUCAGGGAAGAAACAGCAGCUCUAACACAGUCUGCGAAUGACGGUACCUGAAGAAUAAGCACCGGCUAACUACGUGCCAGCAGCCGCCGUAA